rnacentral:rRNA from 1 species
GCUGGCGGCGUGCCUAAUACAUGCAAGUCGAGCGAAUGGAUUAAGAGCUUGCUCUUAUGAAGUUAGCGGCGGACGGGUGAGUAACACGUGGGUAACCUGCCCAUAAGACUGGGAUAACUCCGGGAAACCGGGGCUAAUACCGGAUAACAUUUUGAACCGCAUGGUUCGAAAUUGAAAGGCGGCUUCGGCUGUCACUUAUGGAUGGACCCGCGUCGCAUUAGCUAGUUGGUGAGGUAACGGCUCACCAAGGCAACGAUGCGUAGCCGACCUGAGAGGGUGAUCGGCCACACUGGGACUGAGACACGGCCCAGACUCCUACGGGAGGCAGCAGUAGGGAAUCUUCCGCAAUGGACGAAAGUCUGACGGAGCAACGCCGCGUGAGUGAUGAAGGCUUUCGGGUCGUAAAACUCUGUUGUUAGGGAAGAACAAGUGCUAGUUGAAUAAGCUGGCACCUUGACGGUACCUAACCAGAAAGCCACGGCUAACUACGUGCCAGCAGCCGCGGUAAUACGUAGGUGGCAAGCGUUAUCCGGAAUUAUUGGGCGUAAAGCGCGCGCAGGUGGUUUCUUAAGUCUGAUGUGAAAGCCCACGGCUCAACCGUGGAGGGUCAUUGGAAACUGGGAGACUUGAGUGCAGAAGAGGAAAGUGGAAUUCCAUGUGUAGCGGUGAAAUGCGUAGAGAUAUGGAGGAACACCAGUGGCG